CCUUCUCAUUGCAGGGGGCAGGAGACAGAUAGUUGAGCAGUAGCAAGACAACAAUGGAUACAGUGGCAUCUUAGGACCCAGAGGACCAGGGCCUGCACCACCAGUGAGGAGAGGCUAGUACUUGCUGCACAGGGUGAAUCUGGGCAUAAUCCUAAAUGAUCCAACUUUAAGGAGCAAGAGAUUUAAAUCCUCAAAACAGCCGAGGAAGAGGGCAUAUAGUGAUACAACGUGACCUAGCUGAUCCACGGCAACAUUUACGGUACAGUAGGCAUCCCUCAGUAUUACACAGCUUGAGUGCCCUGAACACAGAUGAGGAGUCUUCUCUGAUUCUGAGAUUUUCACAAGAGAUUUUCAGGAGCUUUUAGUGAAUGAAAAUACUGAUUUAAGAA